rnacentral:lncRNA from 1 species
GCCGACCACCAACAAUCUCCAGCCGCUCGCAGCUCCUCACCGGGGCAUCGGGACCCUUCCUCCGAACAUGCCCGAACCACCUCAGCCUCGCUUCUCGCAUCUUCUCAUCUACUGGGGCCACCUCUACCUUCUCUCGAAUAACCUCGUUCCUAAUCUCAUCUAGUCUGGUGUGCCCGCACAUCCACCUAAGCAUCCUCAUCUCCGCGACCUUCAUUCUCUGAACAUGAGAGUUCUUCACGGGCCAGCACUCCGCCCCAUAUAGCAUCGCAGGU